GGAUGUGAGGGCGAUCUGGCUGUGACAUCUCUCACCCCAUUGAUUGCCAGGGUUGAUUCGGCUGAUCUGGCUGGCUAGGCGAGUGUCCCCUUCCUCCCUCACCGCUACAUGUGCGUCCUUCCCGAAGCUGCACGCUCGGUCGAAGAGGACGACCAUCCCCGAUAGAGGAGGACCGGUCUUCGUCAAGGGUAUACGAGUAGCUGCACUCCCCUGCUAGAACCUCCAAACAAGCNNNNNNNNNNCUCAGGAUAGAAGGAUUCUAAAGAUGUGUAUUCUGGUA
rnacentral:snRNA from 1 species